rnacentral:misc_RNA from 1 species
GAAAAUAAUAAAUAUGGUAUUAUCCAACAUUAAGUAAUGAUUAUUUAAAACAAAUAAAAUAAAAACAAUGAGGUGGAUUAAAGGGGUAAGAAAACUGAGAAAGAAAACCCACAAAUAUGUCCAAAAUAAACAACAUAAAACCCCAGUAAAUCUAUACCAGAGACCUGAAAUUGAUAGUGAAAACUAAUGAGAACAUAAAACUAAUUAAAGCUUUAAUUAAAUUUCAUGGCUUGAUUUUCUGGGCAUAGAUAUAAUCAAUGUGAUCUGCUAGUGUUCUUCACAUCAAGCACUCUUCUUCCCCCACUUCGUGACACCUCUGUUCAACCUCAACCUUCUCUGCUUGA